AUGGGAUUAGAUUUCCAAGAAACUGUUGCACCUACAAAUAUGUACAUACUAAGAACUGACAGAAGGCACUAUUUCCAGUUCCAUUUCCUCAGUCUCGCAGAUGCAUACCAGAGAAAUCAAGGAUUUACAAGGUGGUACAUGGUUACCUGGCCUUCUGCCAGCACUGUCUCAUCCUUGGUUGAAAAUCCUGGUUCUUCCCUGGAUGAUUGAAAGGUUCAGCUGGCCUUCUGUACUUUCAUUUCAUGCAAAAAUAGAGCAAUAAGCCGAACUAAGCUUGAUAUACUGUGAAGAUGAGUGAUGGUAUGAAGUGCUCAGGUGUGAGAGAUUGUUGCAGCCCAGAUAUUCAUAGAAACAUCCACUGUGAAGAUGAAUUUAUCUACAAGAAUCAAACUAGAAGAGUACAGUCUGUGGAGACCUGAAACUUUGCAGAAAAUGGUCCUUGUGUUCCAGUAGAUAGGCCGAACAUCUGAAAGUGGUGUGCCUUCUCAGUAAAGGUACCAGCUUACAUAUUAGGCUGUAGUAGCAAGGGCAUAGAGAGCAGGUUGAGGGAAGUGAUUGUUCCCCUCUAUUUGGCACUUGUAAAACUGCAUUUGGAGUACUGUAUUCAGCUCUGGGCUCCCCAGUACAAGAAAUACAUUGAUAUAUUGGAGUGAGUCCAGAGAAAGACCAUCAGGAUGCUAGAGCGUGUUAUACAGGAAAGGCUGAGAGCUGGGUUUGUAUAGCCUGAAGAGAAGAAGGCCAAGUGAAGGUGUUACUGCUGUCCUAAAUUAUCUGACGAUCUGAUGCUAAAGGAAGAUGAAACUCAACUCUUUUGGUAGGUGCACAGUGACAGGACAAGGCAUCAAAUCCAAGUUGUAACAGGGUAAAUCCAAACUAAUAUUAGGAAAAGUACUUUAUAUUGAGCGUGGUUAGACAACAGAACUGGUUAUCCAGAGAGGCUGUGCAAGCUUCGUGUUUGAAGAUACUCAAAACUCAAGCAGGGAGCCUCACCUAACUGUAAACAUUUUAACCUCUGCGAUCUUCAGAGAUCUUCCCAAUCUGUAUUACUCUAUGAGUUAAAUUUCAUAGUUUGCCAGAAAUGGUUUUAAAAAAAAUAUUCAAAUCUGCUAUUUUGCAAGAGGUUAGUCUUAAGGGGGUUAUUUAAAAGAUUUUUAAGACAUUUCAUUGUUGUCUACUUUUAUAGCACUGAGUUUGUGUGAGCAUUUAUUGC
rnacentral:lncRNA from 1 species